GCGGCCGCGACGCUAUGGCGCACUGGAGUACCCUGUUCCUGGCAAAUCAGUGCCGCGGUCCCUUGCUUCCCUCACCUACUCUUAUCCCAAGUGGCGGUGGCGGCAGCGCAGAGCAGCUUCUGAAGGUCCAGGAGCUCUUUUGUUCCUCCUCUGCAAAGCAAAGGUGCCACAGGGCGCGGCUUUCCGAGAAAGCGUACUCCGCACGGUGCACCUCUCCGUCUGCAGGCGCUGAGCCCCCGGAGGAGGAGGGGGCAGGCUCGCGGAGCCCCUACCCUGGGGCGGGGCCAAGGCGUCCUCCCAGCCCGGCUUUGCAGAGCAGAGAUCUGGUGUCUCCAGUUUACGGAGGCACUUUCAGAACUGAUCAGAAGCCACCCCGCUUAUCAGCAGAUCUCAGGAGAGUGUUCAGUGGAGGCCCUGCCGGUCUGCACAGCUCACCUCCCUGGGAACUGCUCGCCUGAGCGUCGGAGCCGGCCCUGGCCCCCUGCAGCCAGAAAGUUGCAGCCGCAGGAGCCCCGGAGGCCCAGGACGCAGGGGGAGGAACAGGAAGAGAAGAGUGUGGCCUCCUAGAAAUCUAGCACGGAGAAAGACUGGUCUUGAACUCCUGACCUCGUGAUACUCAGCCUCCCAAAGUGCUGGGAUUACAGGAGUGAACCACCAAGCCCGGCUUGACCUCUUGGCUUUUACCAAAGGAUGUUUGCUUCUGAGGAAGCUGGAAGCUGCAGCCACAAUGUGCCUUUGCAGGGGAGCCUGAGAGCCACAGGGGUUAAAAAAAAAAUCUCCCCAGUGUCACUUCUCCCAGGAACGUGUGUAUGUGAAUGGCUUAAAAACUGUUGCCCUUGACAAAGAAAUGUACCAAUCUCCAAUGACAGAAUAUUUAAUCGAGGAAAGGUCUCAUUAACAGAUGUUAAUUAAUCUCCUUAACAGAUGUUAAGGAGAACUGCAAACCACUGUUCAAUGAAAUAAAAGAGAAUACAAACAAAUGGAACAACAUUCCACGCUCAUGGGUUGGAAGAAUCAAUAUCGUGAAAAUGGCCAUACUGCCCAAGGUAAUUUAUAGAUUCAAUGCCAUCCCCAUCAAGCUACCAAUGACUUUCUUCACAGAAUUGGAAAAAACUACUUUAAAGUUCAUAUGGAACAAAAAAGAGCCCGCAUCGCCAAGUCAAUCCUAAGCCAAAAGAACAAAGCCAGAGGCAUCAUGCUACCUGACUUCAAACUAUACUACAAGGCUACAAUAACCAAAACAGCAUGGUACUGGUACCAAAACAGAGAUAUAGAUCAAUGGAACAGAACAGAGUCCUCAGAAAUAACACCACAUAUCUACAACCAUCUGAUCUUUGACAAACCUGACAAAAACAAGCAGUGGGGAAAGGAUUCCCUAUUUAAUAAAUGGUGCUGGGAAAACUGGCUAGUCAUAUGUAGAAAGCUGAAACUGGA
rnacentral:lncRNA from 1 species